rnacentral:rRNA from 1 species
GACGAACGCUGGCGGCGUGCUUAACACAUGCAAGUCGAACGGAAAGGCCCUGCUUGCAGGGUACUCGAGUGGCGAACGGGUGAGUAACACGUGGGUGAUCUGCCCUGCACUUCGGGAUAAGCCUGGGAAACUGGGUCUAAUACCGGAUAGGAGCCAUUUUUAGUGUGAUGGUUGGAAAGUUUUUUCGGUGUAGGAUGAGCUCGCGGCCUAUCAGCUUGUUGGUGGGGUAAUGGCCUACCAAGGCGGCGACGGGUAGCCGGCCUGAGAGGGUGGACGGCCACACUGGGACUGAGAGACGGCCCAGACUCCUACGGGAGGCAGCAGUGGGGAAUAUUGCACAAUGGGCGCAAGCCUGAUGCAGCGAGGCCGCGUGGGGGAUGACGGCCUUCGGGUUGUAAACUCCUUUCGCUAGGGACGAAGCUUUUUGUGACGGUACCUAGAUAAGAAGCACCGGCUAACUACGUG